CUUUAAACUGGUGGAAUCUGAUGGUAAUCCCAGAAAUGGAUCAAAUGGUUGAACAGCCAGCUGGUGUCACAGAAUGGCUUGGCCUCAGGAAAGAUCUCAGAGGAAUAUGAACAAAACCUGCAGUGCACAGGUGAACCCAUUGAUGACUCUGAGGUGCUGCCUCAGCAAUAAUGAAUAAUAACACCACCAACAAAAGCAGUAGGAGCUGACUCGUCCACUCCUCACCAUGCAUUAGACACUC
rnacentral:lncRNA from 1 species